CCACUGCAAUGCGCUGGUACCUUGUCGUGGUGCAGUGGCUUUCAAACCAAACCCAGC
rnacentral:ribozyme from 1 species